rnacentral:tRNA from 1 species
AAUUUUUUAGUAUAAAAGUACAUUUGGCUUCCAACCAAAAAGACUAAUUCCUUUAGAAAAAUUA